rnacentral:rRNA from 2 species
UAGGGAAUAUUGGGCAAUGGGCGCAAGCCUGACCCAGCAACGCCGCGUGAGGGAAGAAGGUUUUCGGAUUGUAAACCUCUGUCCUAUGUGACGAAGGAAGUGACGGUAGCAUAGGAGGAAGCCCCGGCUAACUACGUGCCAGCAGCCGCGGUAAUACGUAGGGGGCGAGCGUUGUCCGGAAUUACUGGGCGUAAAGGGUGCGUAGGCGGUUUGGUAAGUUGGAUGUGAAAUACCCGGGCUUAACUUGGGGGCUGCAUCCAAUACUGUCGGACUUGAGUGCAGGAGAGGAAAGCGGAAUUCCUAGUGUAGCGGUGAAAUGCGUAGAUAUUAGGAGGAACACCGGUGGCGAAGGCGGCUUUCUGGACUGUAACUGACGCUGAGGCACGAAAGCGUGGGGAGCAAACA